ensembl:lncRNA
UGUAGCCAGAGGCCCGGCUGAGACGAGGGCACUGACUAGAAAGGCAGUCGGGGGUAGUUGUGUGCGUGCCUUUGACAACACCUAGGUCCCACCUUUGCACAGCGUCCCCGCCUGCUGCCGCCCCUCGUGGAGGAAAUCCGUUCCGCUCGGCCGGCUUCCCGCCCAGGCGGCCUGGGGCCCCGACCCCUUGGGACUUUGCGCGGCAAAGGUCAGGCCCGCCAUCACCCCAGCCCAGGCCUAGUAGCUUCCAGGAGGCGCGUGCGGGACAGAGGCCCUGCCGGGAAGCUGGCCCCCAGCCCCAUGCAGUCCUGCCUGUUGGAGGUGUGGAAACGGCUCGGGCGCUUGGGGACCUCGUGGAAAUGAGCACAGCUCUGGUGUUACAAGGUGGCGGCCCUCCUGGGCAGCGGGUUUCCUCCUGAGAACUGGCCUUCAAGACUUACGUGUCUGUUGUCGGUCAGAACAGGUGUUAGGCUCAAAAGCUACUACGGGGAGAUUGGGACAGAGUCCCACAGAGUCAGCAUCAGCUUUGGAGGUCAAGGUAAGGUCACACCAGCCACCUGGGUGCCCCGCACAUGGCGCCCUCCUGCGAGGACUGACUUCCUGUCUGACACCCGUUGGUAGAGUUGGGAAACUAGUAUUUUAAAUGAGUCUCUACUGUGCUCUGGGCAACAGGC